rnacentral:lncRNA from 1 species
AUAUGAUAUGUAGAGAUGUACCCAACUGCUGAUCAUUUGCAACCGAGAUAUCUUCAUCUUUCUAUGGCUCCCGAUCACAGUUUUAUAUUCACUAUAAAGGCGAGUUUGGAAGGGGAGGGAAAACAGGGAGGGAAAACCUCCUAUAAAUAACUAAUGGCUUGUUUGGAAGCAAGGGGAUUGAGGGGGCUAAGAGCAACUCCAAGAGCUUACCAAAAAUUUGUUUCUAAAAACAUCAUAUUGGGGGCUGCUGGAAAAAAAACUUCUAAAAAAACUAAACCUACAUCAUAAUGCUAAUAACUAGUCCCUAAAACAAGAAGAUGGUGUCCUGGCCAUGAACGGGGCGUGAGAUGGUGUGGCCGCUGGUCUGCGACUGUGCUGGGAGGCGAACAGUUGAUGGAGGCCGUCUAGCUCCUGCUUCGAGAAGGCCCUGCGAGGAAGCGUGUUAGUGGUGAGAGCAGAGCACCAGACAAGGCUUGUGUUUAGCAGCGAUGGAGGUGGCCACUGUUAGUGGGGUGGUACUCUAUGCCACGACGAAGCGGGAGCUUGGGGCAGACGCCAGCGAAGCCUGCGAGUUGCUCAUCACCACCAGUGGAGGUGGGGUCCCGGCUUGUCGUCGGCCAAUCUGCUGCGCCUCGUUCCUGCCGCUCAUCGACUAUGUUGUCUGGGGGUGGGAGAUGAGGUGCCUCUCACGGCAAAGGACUGGUAACCGUCAACUGGCGCCGCCUCCACCUGUCAACUCUGUUGCCUCUCGCGGAGCAAGGACGGAUUGGGGAAGACCUUCGCUCGCGCAUAUUUGAGUUGAGGGAGAGUGGAGCUAGGAUGCGGGACGCUGAUAAUUUGGGG